AUUUAGGCUCCGAUAUCUCAUUUUCUGACGAUGUCCCUUCUUUUCCUGAGGAUGCACUGGUUCGAAUUCCGCUGUAUGUGUUCAAUGGCAAGGCGAAGAAAACAACCAUCGAGAUUAAGAAAGGAACCCCUCUUCCUUUUUGUACAAAAGUUACAGUGGGUCACAGCGUCUUUAAUGUAGUAUGUGAUGUGGAUAGUUUCUGGUCUGUUAACGGAGCAAAG